UGGGGAAUAUUGGACAAUGGGGGGAACCCUGAUCCAGCCAUGCCGCGUGUGUGAAGAAGGCCUUAUGGUUGUAAAGCACUUUAAGCGAGUAGGAGGGUACUGGUAUUAAUACUACCAGGUACUGGACGUUACUCGCAGAAUAAGCACCGGCUACCUCUGUGCCAGCAGCCGCGGUCAUACAGAGGGUGCGAGCGUUAAUCGGAUUUACUGGGCGUAAAGCGUGCGUAGGCGGCUAAUUGAGUCGGAUGUGAAAUCCCCGAGCUUAACUUGGGAAUUGCAUUCGAUACUGGUUAGCUAGAGUGUGGGAGAGGAUGGUAGAAUUCCAGGUGUAGCGGUGAAAUGCGUAGAGAUCUGGAGGAAUACCGAUGGCGAAGGCAGCCAUCUGGCCUAACACUGACGCUGAGGUACGAAAGCAUGGGGAGCAAACAGG
rnacentral:rRNA from 1 species